rnacentral:rRNA from 1 species
CAGCAGCCGCGGUAAUACGGAGGGAGCUAGCGUUGUUCGGAAUCACUGGGCGUAAAGCGCACGUAGGCGGCUAUUCAAGUCAGGGGUGAAAGCCCGGGGCUCAACCCCGGAACUGCCUUUGAAACUAGAUAGCUUGAAUCUUGGAGAGGCGAGUGGAAUUCCGAGUGUAGAGGUGAAAUUCGUAGAUAUUCGGAAGAACACCAGUGGCGAAGGCGACUCGCUGGACAAGUAUUGACGCUGAGGCACGAAAGCGUGGGGAGCAAACAGGAUUAGAUACCCCCGUAGUCCCUGUCUCUUAUAC